ensembl:lncRNA
AGGCCCAGCAGUAGACGCGAGGCCCAGCAGUAGACGCGAGGCCCAGCAGUAGACGCGAGGCCCAGCAGUAGACGCGAGGCCCAGCAGUAGACGCGAGGCCCAGCAGUAGACGCGAGGCCCAGCAGUAGACGCGAGGCCCAACAGUCAUUAUGAACAGGGAUUAUGACUGUUUGAUAUAAAUGACACUAUAGUGGUCUGGACGUUAACAUUUGCUAAAGUCGCAAUUGUAAAUGAGAAUGUGUUCUCAACUUGCCUACCUGGUUAAAUAAAGACCAUUCACGUGGCCAUCGUGUGUGCCGGGUACAACGCCAGUCGUGAUGUGGUGACACUCGUCAAGUCAGUCCUUUUUCACAGGUAGGUACACACACACACACACACAGCUGGGCCUGUC